rnacentral:rRNA from 1 species
UACAGAGGGUGCAAGCGUUAAUCGGAGUUACUGGGCGUAAAGGGCGCGUAGGCGGCUUGUUAAGUGAGAUGUGAAAUCCCCGGGCUUAACCUGGGAACUGCAUCUUAUACUGGCGAGCUAGAGUACUGUAGAGGGUAGUGGAAUUUCCGGUGUAGCGGUGAAAUGCGUAGAGAUCGGAAGGAACACCAGUGGCGAAGGCGGCUACCUGGACAGAUACUGACGCUGAGGCGCGAAAGCGUGGGGAGCAAACAGG